GCGGGCGUAGUCUAGUGGCAAAAUCCCGACUUCCCAAGCCGGAGAGGUGGGUUCGAUUCCCAUCGCCCGCU
rnacentral:tRNA from 1 species